UAGGUCCACUAGGAUGGCUGCGAGCGACAUCGAUAACACGAUGAGGCAGAGACUGCUGGCGCUGUCGCUCGUCUUCGCCGGCUUCUGCUCUACCGCUGCCGUGGAGAUAUCAUCAAAUUCU